UACGUAGGGGGCAAGCGUUGUCCGGAUUUAUUGGGCGUAAAGAGCGUGUAGGCGGCUAGGUAGGUCCGUUGUGAAAACUCGAGGCUCAACCUCGAGACGCCGGUGGAAACCAUCUAGCUAGAGUCCGGAAGAGGAGAGUGGAAUUCCUGGUGUAGCGGUGUAAUGCGCAGAUAUCAGGAAGAACACCCGUGGCGAAGGCGGCUCUCUGGGACGUGACUGACGCUGAGACGCGAAAGCGUGGGGAGCGAACAGG
rnacentral:rRNA from 1 species